GCCGCCCUGAAUGGGCCGAAGGCCUGCGCUCGUGCGUGGGGUACGGACGUAGGCAGGUCGGGGCGGC
rnacentral:ncRNA from 1 species